rnacentral:rRNA from 1 species
CCUACGGGAGGCAGCAGUGGGGAAUAUUGCACAAUGGGGGAAACCCUGAUGCAGCGACGCCGCGUGAGCGAUGAAGUACUUCGGUAUGUAAAGCUCUAUCAGCAGGGAAGAAGACGAUGGUAUCUGACUACGAAGCCCCGGCUAACUACGUGCCAGCAGCCGCGGUAAUACGUAGGGGACAAGCGUUAUCCGGAUUUACUGGGUGUAAAGGGAGCGUAGACGGCGAUGCAAGCCGGAUGUGAAAGCCCGGGGCUAAACCCCGGGACUGCAUUUGGAACUGUGUGGCUGGAGUGUCGGAGAGGCGGGCGGAAGUCCUAGUGUAGCGGUGAAAUGCGUAGAUAUUAGGAGGAACACCAGUGGCGAAGGCGGCCUGCUGGACGAUGACUGACGUUGAGGCUCGAAAGCGUGGGGAGCAAACAGGAUUAGAUACCCGAGUAGUC